AUUGAACGCUGGCGGCAUGCCUUACACAUGCAAGUCGAACGGUAACGGGCCUUCGGGUGCCGACGAGUGGCGAACGGGUGAGUAAUACAUCGGAACGUGCCCGAUCGUGGGGGAUAACGAGGCGAAAGCUUUGCUAAUACCGCAUACGAUCUACGGAUGAAAGCAGGGGACCGCAAGGCCUUGCGCGGACGGAGCGGCCGAUGGCAGAUUAGGUAGUUGGUGGGAUAAAAGCUUACCAAGCCGACGAUCUGUAGCUGGUCUGAGAGGAUGAUCAGCCACACUGGGACUGAGACACGGCCCAGACUCCUACGGGAGGCAGCAGUGGGGAAUUUUGGACAAUGAGCGCAAGCCUGAUCCAGCCAUGCCGCGUGCAGGAUGAAGGCCUUCGGGUUGUAAACUGCUUUUGUACGGAACGAAAAGCCUUCUUUUAAUACAGGAGGGUCAUGACGGUACCGUAAGAAUAAGCACCGGCUAACUACGUG
rnacentral:rRNA from 1 species